UCAUGUGGUGUUUCCUUAACCAAGAUGACAGGCAGCCUAGAGAGGAGGCCAUUCCUGGAGCAUCUGGGGGACCCAGCACAAGGAAGGCAAGCAGGAGGGCCAUCCACUUAGCAGGCCCAUCCUAACUCAGAGUACCUCAUCACAAAUUGGAUUGCAGAGAACUCAAAUGAAGAGGACAAGCAAACUCAGGAAUGUGGAGCACCCAUCAUCUGCCAUGGUCAAGGAGAUAAUCUGUGGAGAGAGAGAGAAAACAGAUGGGGAGAGCUGCACACACAGAGAUCCACGAGGCUUCUGAGAAUAAACAAGAAUCUCUUGGCUUCCCAA